rnacentral:rRNA from 1 species
UACGUAGGGGGCAAGCGUUGUCCGGAAUCAUUGGGCGUAAAGAGCGCGUAGGCGGUCCGGUAAGUCGGUUGUGAAAACUGGGGGCUCAACCCUCAGAGGCCGACCGAUACUGUCGGGCUAGAGUCCGGAAGAGGCGAGUGGAAUUCCUGGUGUAGCGGUGAAAUGCGCAGAUAUCGGGAGGAACACCAGUAGCGAAGGCGGCUCGCUGGGCCACUCCUGACGCUGAGACGCGAAAGCUAGGGGAGCGAACAGG